AGCGAAAGUGACGGUACCUGCAGAAGAAGCGCCGGCUAACUACGUGCCAGCAGCCGCGGUAAUACGUAGGGCGCGAGCGUUAUCCGGAAUUAUUGGGCGUAAAGAGCUCGUAGGCGGUUUGUCACGUCUGCUGUGAAAGCCCGGGGCUCAACCCCGGGUGUGCAGUGGGUACGGGCAGACUAGAGUGCAGUAGGGGAGACUGGAAUUCCUGGUGUAGCGGUGAAAUGCGCAGAUAUCAGGAGGAACACCGAUGGCGAAGGCAGGUCUCUGGGCUGUUACUGACGCUGAGGAGCGAAAGCAUGGGGAGCGAACAGGAUUAGAUACCCUGGUAGUCCAUGCCGUAAACGUUGGGCACUAGGUGUGGGGGACAUUCCACGUUUUCCGCGCCGUAGCUAACGCAUUAACGUGCCCCGCCUGGGGAGUACGGGCCGCAAAGGCUAAAACUCAAAGGAAUUGACGGGGGCCCGCACAAGCGGCGGAGCAUGCGGAUUAAUUCGAUGCAACGCGAAGAACCUUACAAGGCUUGACAUGGACCGGACGCUGACCG
rnacentral:rRNA from 1 species